UGGUGUUUCAGUUGUACCGUUUGUGGUUCAUGUGUGGGAGCAAGAACAAUGUCAUCAGUAUGAAAAAGAACACACUGUUCAAUGAUGCACGGCUUUACUCGCAAACAAGUUCAUCCUGUGGUUAACGGGGACAUUUAGUGGGUUACUGGGUUUUCUAGAGACUGUUGAGAAUUAAAACAAUACCGUUUUUUUCAUUAUUGUCUGUGUGAUCACGACUACAAGUCUGAAGAAGUUGGAAGGCUGGGAAAAAUUUAGAAAUAUAAAACAAAACAGUGUAAUGAUUUGAGUGGUCUUUUCACAACACAAAGCAAAAUUAAGUAAAGCUUUGCUAACACAGCCUGAUGAGAACAAAGAAGUAAACCUAACCCAGUUCUGACUGUUAUGAAGUAUGUUAUUCACAUCAGAUUCAAAAUGGGCUUGAAAUUUUUUUUAAUUUAUUGAAUUUCUAAAUUUUUUUUAGUAUUUUUUAUAUAUUUUUAUUUUCUAUACACUAUGAACAACUUGGCUCCGCCAUUCAUCGUUAUACGAAUUUGAAGCCAAAAAGCUCUCCUGUGAUUCUUCCUGGAACCACCGCUCGCCCAAUAGCGUUGUACACAUUCGGUGGGAGAGUCGCUGUGAUGACGCUCGGCGCAAACAGCGUAUCCCCCAGGUUAGCUACGAAAUCUUCAUACGCCCAUAGGCUGUAUCAAGUGUCAAUCAAAGAAAACAUGAACCCCCUAAUAACUUUUAAAAAUGGAGCUGCACAGAAAAAAGAGGACUUGAGCACAAACCAGUCUUACAGUAACUACAUGUCAACAUCGCAACCAGGGGGAGAAACAUUUAUAUUCUGUGUAAUUAAUUUCUAAAUUUUGUCCACAGCUCCAUAGGGAUUGCUGGAGAAGGCGGGAUUUAUGACCUAUACUGCAGCCCGUCACCAGAGGGUGCUGUUCUCAUUGUCGCUCCACCUAGCAAGGAGGCAGACGGCGUCCACUAUAUAUGCAGUCUCUGGUGGCAAAACAUGGUUGGGACCGCACUUGAACCCACGGCCGCUGCGAGGGGACCGUGGUCCCCAUGUUUGGGGCGCGC